CCUACAGUGCCUUUGGGAAGUCUGACACCCAGGGCAACACAUGGCUGACAGCUUUUGUGGCCAGGUCCUUUGGGCAGGCCAGCUCUUACAUUUACAUCA